rnacentral:misc_RNA from 1 species
AAAAAGUCCCAUUUGACUCCCUAACUAUUUCUCCUACCCUCUCUGUUAGUGGUUUAAAAUUCAUUAUCUUUCUCAUUCAUCCUACUCUUUUACAAACGUAUCUGAGCAGAAUUUUUUUUUUCGCUUAUCACAAGUCGUGUGAUAUAUAUGAUACACGUACAAAUGAAGACCCUUGAGCAAGGAACCCUCAUUUGAAUGAUUCACAAUCCAUAUCAUUGCUCAUACUGAAUAUUGAAACUUACAAAGUCUUUUUCUGUUUUGGAAGAUUCAAGAAAGUAAAU